ensembl:lncRNA
GGAACAGAGGAGAAGUAGGAUAGGGGUACGGCUAAAGACUAUACGAACUGGCCGUCUAGCACGUUCAGAACAGAGAGUAAAAGGAGCAGGUAUCUGGGCACGAUAGCAUAGAUUCAAGGCAUAGUGCACAGACAAAGGUAAGGUAGGAAGUGAGCACAUUGGAGGUAAACCUAGGCAUUGAGUAAUGAAGAGAGAGAUAUAGUCUAGAGAUAUUUAAACAAGGUGAUGUCAUCGCAUAUGUAGGAGGUGGAACAACAUGGUUGGUUAAGGCACAUUGAGCAGGGCUGGAGGAUCUACAGUGAAAUAAGACGAAGCAGUGUAAAUUCAGAUGCAUAUCCCAGAUUAAACCAAGGAAUCCUCUUUUAAAGAAGCAUUCUCUACGCCCUGACUGGUUAGUCUUCUCUACAUUCUGAUACUACUACCCUGGUGUGACCUGAGGCUCAGCCGACGUCAUGGCUAUCUCUCCUACCGUAACCCUCCACCUGGACGAUGGUGUGGUGCGUGGCCUGGACCUGCAGUCUUGUGCUGUCCAGCUGUGUAAAGGACAUGGUCACUGUGUGGCUCAGGGACAGGUCACCACCUGUGAGUGUAUCCUGGGGUACAGAGGAGAGUUCUGCCAUGAGAGUGUCAAUGAGGCAAUCGGUGUUCCGCUCACCCUGGGGGUAGUGGCCUUUAUCGUUGGCAUCCUCAUCCUCUCCUUCCUCAUUGCAUUCAUCAGGCAGAGGGUCAAGGUCAAAAGGAAAGCUGCAGCCAAGGAUUCAAGUGGUUUAGAAAAAGACAUUCUGUAGCAUCAAGGUUUGGUUGACGGUCCAACAUCAGAGCACAUCCCCUUCAUCAGGCUUUAUCCCCGGUAUAAACAAUUAUAUACUGUAGUACUAUUUAUAUAAACAACUAUUUACUGUAGUACUCUUCAUAUGAACUACAUGCGUUAGUGUUAACUACUAUACCAUAGCACUACUUAUAUAAACAACUAUGCUGUGGUACUAAUAGAAAUCCAUAUAUGGUGGGACGACUCGUGAAAAGUAAGGACUGUUUUUGGCGAUAGCUGUGUUUGAAUACUAACAAACUGUAUACUACAUACUUAAUAAGUGUAUAUUACAUACUAUAUACUGUUUGUUGAUUUUUAGUAUACUGUAAAUGUCCGGUAUCCUUUCAGUUGAUUGUACUAGCGCUUUGCCUGUCUAUCUGUAGUUGAUGCUGUUGCUAUGCAACUUCUUGUUAGCAUAGCUAACAAAUGACUAGCUAGACGUUUUAUGACUUCAUUGAGAACCCACAAUGGCUAUACCACUUAGCUAAGCCAAGAAUAAUCAAGCCAAUAAAUUUUGGGUAGUUUGCAUAUAGUUAAUAUACUGGCGAGUUUGUAUUAGUAACUAGCUAACAUACAGUACCUACAAGCAACUGCUGUAAUGAUACGCUAUGCAGUUCUAUGCUAACAAACUGUCAGCGAACGUAACUUAUUUGAAAAGUCGUUACUCCAGAGUGGUGCAGCGGUCUAAGGCACUGCAUCUCAGUGCUAAAGGUGUCACUACAGACCCUGGUUCGAUUCCAGGCUGUAUCACAACCGACCGUGAUUAGGAGUCCCAUAGGGCGGCGCACAAUUGGCCCAGGGUCGUUAGGGUUUGGCCGGGGUAGGCCGUCAUUUUAAAUAAGAAUUUGUUCUCAACUGACUUGCCUAGUUAAACCCCAAUAUAUAUAUAUAUUAAAGGUUACAUAAAAAUUACAUUUCUCAACAAUUUCCUUCCGUUUGAGCCUGGCCUGACUGGCUUACCUCCUUUUAGAGCCUGGCCUGACUGGUUAGUUGGUAACAUUUAACACAUUUUCUCCAAAACAUGACAGGAAUUUCAACGCUGGUAAACCAGUCAGUCCAACAGUGUUUUUCAUUGGCAACAGAAAGCAUCCGCUGGGGAUUGAGGUUUGAAAAUAAACACUGUUCUAUACAGGCUGUAGUGUUCGUCAAAACAGGUUUCGUCUUGCAUACUUAGGAUUGCAUGACUAUCCCUAUUGUGCUGCUGAGUGCCUUAGAUCAAAGUGAAGUUUACUGUCCAACAUCAGAGCUUGGCCUUUUCAUUGGCUCCAUCCCUGGUACAUGUAUAAAUAACUAUAUAUUGUAGUACUAUUCAUAUAAACAACUAUAUACUGUAGUACUUUUAAUACAAGCAACUAAAUACUUUAGUACUAUUUAUAUUACCAACUAUAUACUGUAGUACUAUUCAUAAACUACAUGCGCUAGUACUACUAGUGUUAACUACUAUACAAUAGGACUUCUUAUAUAAACAAAUAUGCUGUGGUACUAAUAUAAAACCACAUGGUGGGACUACUCGUAUAAAGGACUUUUUUUUGGGGUCACGUCUUUAUACUGACUAACUUUAUACUUUUUUUCUGGGAAACCAAAGCCUCGACGAGCAGCAGCUUUUCUCACGCUGAUCCUGGCCAUGCUGUUAUGACUGAUUAGUGUGGUGAUGCACUCUGUUGCCUAACUUGUUUGUGUUGCUUGUGGCUGUAUUGCUUGUGGUUUGUUGCCUGACUUGUUUGUGCUGCUUGUGGCUGUGUUGCCUGACUGUUGCCUGACUGACUGGUUUGUGCUGUGUUGCCUGAUUGUUGCCUGACUGGUUUGUGUUUAUGGUUGUGUUGCUUGUGGUUUGUUAACUGAUUUUGUGUUGCCUGACUUAGUGUUAUCUAUGACUCAUUAGUGACUAAUAGACCUAAGCAAUGGCAACAUUCAGUUGCUCCUAAACAUGACAGGAAUUCAAACUGAGCUUUUCAUUGGCCACAAAGGUUUGAAAAUAUACACUGUAUACAAGUCUGGUCCCCUUGCUGAUAUAAUUUUCUCUUGUAACUGUAAACUCAAGUGAGUUUUUGUCUUAAUUUCAAGCUGAUCCAGUCUCUCCCUCUAGAGGUUGGUUACAACAUAAUGGAAGCCUGUCCAGUCAUGGACCUUCGGAUCAUACAACCGCCUUGUUAAUUCCAUGUGGAUAAAAUGCUAUUAUGUUCUUGAAUAAUUAUUAUAGACGCAUUGCAAACAAAAUAUUUUAUCAAUUGUAUUUUUUAAGCUUUGUUCUUGUAUCUGAAUGUUGGAUAUGCUUAAACCUGGGCAAAUUCACAUUAAAACACUGUUUACUUCUGUGUGAUCAAUGUCUCUUAGUGGUAUCCUUUUAAACGGAUUGUUUAUCACAUUUGUAGAACUAACCUGUAGAUCACUAGGCCUAGUUUUUUUACCUGUUUAUGACAUCCAUGUACUUGGCCAACAAAACAACUUGUUAGCAUUCCUAGAGUAGAAAGCAGGGUUUGGAACCAAAUUAUUUUACAAUCGUUUUGUUCAACUCUUCUGACCAGCAAAAUAAAGUUCUGAACUGGUUUGAAGCAACAACAAAACAUGUACCAGUAUAUAUUCCUUUUUAUAACCUGUCAAAUAAACUUCUUUUAAAAACAUUUAACCUAUUAAAUGACUUCACUGAUCAGUGCGGAUAGAGCAGUUAAGAUUGUUCAAAUGUGUGAUGGACAGACAAGUGCACCAGAAGGGCACCGGCAUUAAAAACAAUUCUU